UACGGAGGGUGCGAGCGUUGUCCGGAAUCAUUGGGCGUAAAGGGCGCGUAGGUGGCGGGACAAGCGUGCGGUGAAAGCCCUCGGCUUAACCGAGGAAGUGCAUCCGAAACUGAGUAGCUAGAGUACGAAAGAGGGUCGCGGAAUUCCCGGUGUAGAGGUGAAAUUCGUAGAUAUCGGGAGGAACACCGGUGGCGAAGGCGGCGACCUGGGUCGAGACUGACGCUGAGGCGCGAAAGCGUGGGGAGCAAACAGG
rnacentral:rRNA from 1 species